AGAUGCAGACAUGGCUGGAUGUUCUUUGCCGGGCUGCUGAGUCAGAAGCCUGGACGGGCCAGCUUCAGUUUUAAUGAAGUGGCUCAGGAAGGAAGUGCUAACAGAGAUGGGUGCACAGUGCAGUCAGUGGGUGGGAGCUGAUGCUGGCUAGAAGACCUGAGUCUUCCGAGAGGCAGCUUGAUUCCUGGAAAAGACUACUGGGCUGGAAGUCAGGAGGCCUGGGGUACUCUCAGCUCUGCCGCUAACAUGCUGCAUGACCAUGGGCUGACUGGAGAACCUGAGGUGCUAUGCAGAGACCAGAAGAAGGCUUUGGUCCCAAGCCUGCAGCCCUAAAAGAAGAACGAGCCCGUGAGUUCCAGCCUGGUCCAGCUCAGCACCUGGGUCAUAGUAGGCACUCAGUGAAUGUUGAUGUGAACAAAUGAACUGAUUCAAAGAAGUGUCUCCUGAAGUUGCUUAUUUCCAAUCCAGCCAACCAAUGCAGUAUUCUGAAUGGAGGUACCAGAGAUCACGUCAUCUUCAGCUUUCUGCUGCAGAUCCACAUGAAGAAUCACACAUAUCCUUAAUGUUAGAUAGGACUUUGCAUUGGACACUUUAAAAUGUGAUGUCUGGCUUUGAAGAGGGUGUAUAACACACAUAAUUUACUGUGCAUCAAUCUCACUAAUGGAAAAUAAACAAUAACCCAUAAAUCA